CUGAACCAGCCAAGUAGCGUGAAGGAUGACUGCCCUAUGGGUUGUAGACUUCUUUUAUAAAGGAAUAAAGUCGGGUAUGCAUACCCGUUUGCAUGUACUUUAUGAAUAAGGAUCGGCUAACUCCGUGCCAGCAGCCGCGGUAAUACGGAGGAUCCGAGCGUUAUCCGGAUUUAUUGGGUUUAAAGGGAGCGUAGGCGGACGCUUAAGUCAGUUGUGAAAGUUUGCGG
rnacentral:rRNA from 1 species